CUUGGACGUUUGGCUAUAAGACUCUAGAUUUUUUUUUUAAAGAUUUUAUUUGUUUAUUCACCAGAGAUAGAGAGACAGAAACAUAGGCAGAGGGAGAAGCAGGCUCCUUGCAGGGAGCCUAAUGUGGGACUUGAUUCCAGGACCCCAGGAUCACAACCUGAGCCAAAGGCAGACACUCAACCACUGAGCCACCCAGGUAUCCCAAGACUCUAUAUUUUAUCUAAACUUGUUCUGGCUGGCUUUCUCUAAUUCCAGUCCAUCAGGGGAAGAGGACACUACUUUGCUACUGCCAGAAUCCAUAUGAUGUUGCAAAUGAGUCCAGGCUGCUCUGCUCACUGCACAACAGGCCAAUGAGUUGAGAGAAGGCAUAUAUGCUGGAGAAGAGACCAUGCUGCCCUGGGUGCCUACAAUACCUAAGAUCCUCUUCUGAGAGGUUGCUAUGUUCAUAGCCUCAUUCUGUGAAACAAAACAAAAGAAAAAACCAGCUAGCUCAUCAGACAACCAUGCUUUUGUGUCACUUGACUCCUGAUAUUAUGGGUCAGUUGACUUAAUUGAACGGAUUAACCUUUGCAGCAAUAUGGAGAGUGUAAGUCCUGGCUAUUAGCCCAUGGAAUGACCUGUUACUAAACUGUGCCCAAUAAUGGUGGUCAAUAUUGGGUGGUGACUAGCUCUCUUUGGAGAAAAACUUAAGGGGGCAGAAAGCUAGAGACCCACUUGAGGCUUCAGAAGUCAUAGGAUAAUAAAAGCCUUAAGACAGUUACCUUGAGGCAAGAGAGGUUUAGAGGAGAGACCAAGGAUAGGCAGAAAUAGUGGUUGAUCUUAAUGAUCAACUCAAUCACAAGCUGAGAUAGAGUCCUUGUCACAGGAAGCAACAAAAAUUUGCUACUGGACAGACUUCUGUAGGUAUUCCUGUUGGUUGUUAAAAGCUGCUGUUGGUCCUCCACAGAUAUUGUAGGUCCUGAAUGAAUCACAGUUUAGUGGCCUGGCUGAGCAGUUGAUAAGAUGCAACUUCUUGCUCCUUUCUUCCCAUAUGUAUCUUUAAACCUACACCAACUAAGAUAACUUGAAAAUAUGGUUUCUAGAACUCAAAGAAGAUUGACCACUAAGAGCACCGCCAUGUUGAAAAUAAAUCAUGCAAGACAAAUAUGUCUGACAGUAUUUAGUGAAUCUAUUUGUCUAUUUAACUGAAGCUAUCAAUUUAUUUCGGAUUACUUCUAAUCCAAAGUAGAAGUAAAAGUAGUGCAUAUUCUCCAACUCACAUUGUUAGGAUUCAAAUACCUGAAAGGGAAUUAAGAAAAUGAAAAGAUAUGAUUUGAACUCAUUCAAUUCUGUUGUCAAUAAAACAAUUUCAAUUUGUCUGUAAUAUGUUCCCUACUUAAUAAAAAAGCAUAAGUGACAUCGAGUGGCAAAUUUGUCAGUAAAUCAUGUAUCUUAAGGAGGUAACAGUUAAACCAAAUCUACAGAAUCUUUUUUGCCCUUUUUUCAACUAUUCUAAAUCUGUUUUUUUUUUUUUUAACUUUAGAUUUUUCUGCUUCUCUUUUAAAAGAAUCCACCUGCAGCAAACACACUUGGGAGCUCAAUAAAUAAUAUGUAACAAAGUCUAAAGAGGCUUAUUCACAAAGAAGGGGCCCAAAUCCCUGAGCUUUAGAAUUAUUCUUUAUCUUUAUGCAGUUUCUGAGACCCUGAGGGUCUUUCCCUUCCUUUUCCCACAGUCUCCCUACUUAGCAUUCACAGAAGGUAUCUCUCCUUUAGGCUAGAUUAAUUUCAACAUAAAAAAAAAAUUUCACUUUUUUUUUUGGCAGGGUGGAGGAGAUAAGAAAAGGAGUUAAACUUGGAAGCGUGUACUUAUCACUAAUGCACUUUAUUGCCAGAGAGCAAUAUUUUUUAUUGCCAAAAAUAAUGUUAAAAUAAUUACACUUUAUGAUCUUAACAAUUUAUUUCUGUAUCCAUCAACUUUGAGUAUUCGUGUAUUGAAGUAAUAGUACUGACAUGAUCUUUUCCAUUAAUAAA